CACUUCAGAGCAGGCGAACUUUGAAGGUGUCUUCAUUGAAAAAGAUGAGGAAGUUGCUGAGUUUAUGAAAUACAUCCAGAGACACACAAAUGAUGUGGCUCAGCUGAGGAACCUCUUGUCAAUGCGUCCAUUUCUCUCCGUCAUGCAUGCAAAGGCUCUCAUUUGGAAAUGCGAGGGCGAACAGACAUGCUGACCCUCCUGGCUUUGGGGUGGACCAAAAGGAAAGUGGAACAACUGGUUUGAGCCAGAGAUAUCUAAAGGUGAUUUUUUUUUUUCAACACCCAUUUAAAUGUGUGUGGUAAUGGGGGAAAAACACCUGUACUGUAAAAACAUCAAUGCGAAUGACAUUUAUUAAUGUAUUCUUAGAUCAUAAGGAUCCUUAGAGAACAAAUGGAGAGCCUGAAUAUGACCAGAAAUGAGCUGGGUGUGGAUGACGACACACUGCAGCAAUGGGUGGCCGAUGUGCAGAAAUGGGCUGAAGAAACUGAUCAAACUGAUGGCAGCCUUGGAGCGUUGCAGGCACGACUAGAGGAGCUUGUCGUCAUCAUCAGAGUGCGAACACAAAGUCUUUACAGACAAAAUGAUAGCAACAAGAGGCGACACAGAAUUCGCAAGGUCAUCUUAGAUGAGAAGAAACGCUUGGCGGCUGCUGUUGACGACUACAACAAGCUUGCUGAACCAACAAAGCAAAUCGUAUCCAGUGAUGCCCUCAUCCAGACCGACAUUUGGCUCUGGCAGAGCACAAGUGAACCUGCUGCUGAACUCCAGACAAAGAGAGAGGUCUUUGAGAAGGUGAUGGCUGUGAGGCGCCUGAGAGAGGACGAGAUGAUCCUUUGCAGGGAGAUGCGGCAUCACUGGACAGUGUUGCAAAUGCGAUCUGUGGUGUUGGGGACAAUCUCCUCAGACUCCUCCUUUGUUGGCAUGUCGGAGGAUGCACAGAAGGGACUCCGUAGCCUGGUUUAAAAAAACAAAGUGAACUGAAAGCUGAAAUGCUCAAAAUAAAGGACACGUACAAGAGAAUCCUCAGCCACCAACCACUCCUGGAAAUGGACUCGGAGGAGGAGGAGGACAUUCCAGACGAUGCCACUGAGAGUGAUUUGAGCACUUCUGAUGAAGACUGAUUGUGUCAUCAUUGAUGUUAUUUUUGGUAAAAUAAAAAGUUAAUCACAUCUCUGUUUAAUGUGAUUUUUCAACAGACAUUUUACAUUUUGAGAAGAAAAAUGGAAUUUCCUUGGUGCAGUUGUUUACCCAUAAUCAUGCUUUCCCAUGUAAUUUAAUGACUAGUGUAAAUGUUCAGAUAGACUAACAUAAUUUAAUUCAUGGAAUGUUUUCUGUGCUGCUCAAAUUACCACAGAAUUUAAAAGCACCAGGCAGCAAACUCACAAGGAAAUUUUUGUUCAGUGUUUUGUCGAAGAAAUCAACAAGUACAAUUGAGAUGUUUGCUGUAGUGGUGUGUUUGUUAAGAAGCAUGCCAGCACACUGGUGAACUGACAGUCCCAGAAUGCACCCGAGCCACUGACUCGCACAAGAGCAAAUGAAACUGCUUAUCUAGGAAGACAACCGUCAUCAAAGAAUAAGUAAAAGAAUAGGAAACUAACGGUAAGGGAAGGUACUGUGCAGUAGGAAAGAAAGGCCAGAGCCGUGCAAAAUGACCUCCAGCAGGCCACAAAUGUGCUCGUCUGCUCAAACGGUCAGGAACGGACUCCAUGAGAGCCCGACAUCCACAGGUGAGGGUUUUGCUUGCAGCCCAACACCGUGCAGGAUGUUUGGCAUUUGCCAGAGAACACAAA
ensembl:lncRNA